rnacentral:rRNA from 1 species
UACGGGGGGGGCAAGCGUUGUUCGGAAUUACUGGGCGUAAAGGCCAGUAGGCGGCCAACUAAGUCGGAUGUGAAAUCCCCAGGCUCAACUUGGGAACUGCAUCCGAUACUGGAUGGCUUGAAUUCGGGAGAGGGAUGCAGAAUUCCAGGUGUAGCGGUGAAAUGCGUAGAUAUCUGGAGGAAUACCGGUGGCGAAGCGGCAUCCUGGACCGAUACUGACGCUGAGGAGCGAAAGCCAGGGGAGCAA